rnacentral:rRNA from 1 species
CCGCCUCCUACGGGAGGCAGCAGUGGGGAAUAUUGCACAAUGGGCGCAAGCCUGAUGCAGCGACGCCGCGUGGGGGAUGACGGCCUUCGGGUUGUAAACUCCUUUCGUUAGGGACGAAGCCGCACCUGUUUUGGGUGUGGUGACGGUACCUUUGUUAAGAAGCACCGGCUAACUACGUGCCAGCAGCCGCGGUAAUACGUAGGGUGCGAGCGUUGUCCGGAAUUACUGGGCGUAAAGAGCUCGUAGGUGGUUUGUUGCGUCGUCUGUGAAAUUCCGGGGCUUAACUUCGGGGUGGCAGGCGAUACGGGCAUAACUAGAGUGCUGUAGGGGAGACUGGAAUUCCUGGUGUAGCGGUGGAAUGCGCAGAUAUCAGGAGGAACACCGAUGGCGAAGGCAGGUCUCUGGGCAGUAACUGACGCUGAGGAGCGAAAGCAUGGGGAGCGAACAGGACUAGAUACCCUGGUAGUCCAUGCUGUAAACGGUGGGCGUUAGGUGUGGGGACCGGUUUGGUUUCUGUGCCGUAGCUAACGCAUUAAGCGCCCCGCCUGGGGAGUACGGCCGCAAGGCUAAAACUCAAAGGAAUUGACGGGGGCCCGCACAAG